AGGCCCAAAUCAUAGGCCCAAACCUAGAUGCUUGAAUACACAUAUCUUAUUAACCCUAGUUAGUUUCUUCUGCCUCUCCAUUUUCUGUCCCUCUAUAUAAACCAACAUGCUUCUGUUCUUCUAUCACAGUCUUCUGCAUUCGCCUCCCCAGCUUGGGUCCUCGAUUUGGUUUGAUUUUCUCCUACUUUCUCUUUUCGUUUUUCUUAAAUGUGCUACGAUUUGGUUUGAUAAAAUCUCAUGUUUCAUCGACUUUGUAGAGAAGAGUGUGGUGAUGAUACACUUUGUGGACUAGAGUUUCUGAUAUGGUAUGAUGUGAUUUGGAAUCAAUUGCGCCCUUUUACCAAUUCUGGGGGAUAAUUUGUUCCUCUCGGUAUAAUGGCUUGGGCGCUAUAUCAAUUUGUGGCUAUCCUGAUCGAUGUUCUUUCAAUGCCAUUAGAUCCUGGAAACACCUCGUACAUUCUUCUCAUUAUGAAAAUAUUUUCCAAUUUAACUAAUUGGAAUAUCAAUGUUAUCCUUGUCAAGCUUAUGUGAUCUCACCAAUUGUGUAUAAAUAAUUGUUAGAUUGAGUAGAGAACCAGUAACAGGAAUGAGUUGAGGAGAGUGAGAAAAAUUAUAUCUUUUAUCAUUAAUAAAAUUGGGCUUAUGAUGAUAACAUAAAUUAUCUUAGCGGAUUUCAGUGAGAUUUUGUAGUCAAUGAUCUGAAUGUUACACACACUGAAGCCCUUUUUGAUUACUAGGGUUUUAAUAUAAAAACAAAGUCUAAUCAGAAAUAAUCUUUCUUCUAUUUACA